CAAAGAAAUUGGACAACCGGAGCAAACACUCCACUCCCUCACUACACAGACACAGGCGGAUAAGCUCCUCUCUCCCUCACAGAACACGACCGCCCCUCUUCCACUGCAUCCCCACCGGCGGCGAGACGAACACCCACCCCUGCCUGGUCCAUGGCGGCCGCCCUUCCCCAGCCGCUGAUCUAUGCCCCUCCACCCCCUCCUGCCGCUGCGCCGGUCCAUGGCGGCCGCCCUUCCCUUACCUCUCUUCACGCAGCCCGGAUCUGCCGCCUAUGGCUUCCACCUUGCUUCCCUUUUCCCCAUCGCUCUCCAGCCCCGCAACGGACCCGUUCGCCGCCACCAGCCUAGUCCGCAGCCACGGCUCCGCUCCGGCCGCCAUGGAUGAGCUUUGCCUCCAACGGAUCGUCGGCACCGACCACCGAGCAGCCUUGGAGGGAUCCGGCAGAGGCUCCCCACCUCGACUGCGGCUGGAGGAGGCCGUCGAUGCUUCCUACUUCGCGCCGUCCCAGCAACAAUGAGCGCCGCCGCGUCCGUCCAUGGGUACCCCCUGCUCAGCGUACUUCGUAGACGGCGAGGAAUCUGAGAUCCCCAUUAGGAUAAGUAUAUGUGACUGCUUUUGUCUAAAUCUUGCGUGAACUGAACAUAGUUGUGUGCAUACUGAACUUUGACUGAAAUAAUUGCUUGAGAGAAUUAGCUAUCAUCAAAUUGUCUAUUUUGUUAAAUUUAAUGUGUUUGUUUCAAAGUCUGCUAAAACAACUUGGAGACGUGCUUUGCUAUUGUAGGUUGACAUGAUGGGUGAGUAGUCUGCUGAUGACAAAGACCCUUAAUUAUGAUGUCAUCUACUCUCAUUUGGUACUACAGUAUUCUUAAUUGCGGACACUUCCUUUGUAGUUAAAAACGGCAUGAACAAUUGCAGCUUAUUGUUAGUUAUCUCCGAGCUGCACUGAGCAUUCUUACAUCGUUCGGCUUGUAGUAUUGUAUAAUUUCCUAAACACCAUCAAGUUUCCAGAAAGCUCGUUGUUAGAUGCACUAUUGGAUAAGGUGACCGGUGCAACAUAUGCCCGGAAGGGCUCUUAAGGCCCUUUUAUUCUUCUAUUUAGAUAACAGAGGUCCUGGUCUGCUAGGAUUUACACUUGUUUCAGUCAUAAAUCUGUUGUUGCCUUUUUUGUGUGUUGAAAAUCAUGACUUUAUUGUUCGGAUCAUUUGAACGCUGCCUUGUUCCAGUUACCACCAUAUUUUCUCGAGGGACAUUAUUCUAUCCUUUUUAGAUGUUCUACAAGCAGUCUUGCCCGGGAAGAAAAUGCACAUCAUGGGGAACUUAAUAGUGGAGAAGAAAAACCCAGUCCAGGCAGGUGCGCUGGCUGAGGACUUGGUUGGCACCGACGCCGUCGGCUGCGGAAGGCGGCGACGGCCAACACUCGCUGGACGGCGAUGGCGCAACAGUGGCUUGGCAGCGCCGACGUCUCACUGCAAUUGCGUUUGGACGACGACAUCGAAGAAAGACGCCGAGAUUAACUGGGAUGGAACUGGUCACAUAUUGUGCACAAGAGGAUAGUCUGCACAUGGCGGCUGCGAUGUACGUCCGGGUGGGCAAAGGCAGGAAGAUUGAGUUGAUUCCCGUAAGUUUAGCUGUUUGUUGUGAGGCGGACAUAUCAAUUGCCAUAAUUGUGGCUAUUUUUCUGUAGUUGAUUGGCUUGAUCUUUUUGUUUGCGUGGAGGUGGAACUGUUCGAUCGAUGGCAGAGUUUCGUCCGCUAUUCUAAAUUGCUAAAUGCACACAGGUGGGGCCUGAGUUUUAUGUGGACGGUUAGAUGCCUAAUCUUGGGGUUGUAGUUUGUCUUGCUUUUCCCGUGUACGUUUAUUUGGGUGGGCAUAGUGAAGAAUAUGUUUGAUUGUUUAAUAGUAUAAGUAGAGAAGUAGAGAUUUGUCUUUCACCUGGAGAUUCGAUGUAGCUCGGUCUGAGCAUGAGUGAUAGCAGUCUUGUAUCUUAUGUUUACCAUGCAAAUUUUACUUGGAAGAAAUGUUGAUGGUUGUUUCUAUGUUUUCAGUGGAAUCAGUUUUCUUGACCCCAUGGGAGAAGUUAGAAGUGAUAUUCUCGGGAGUUCCCACCAACUGGUUUGAUGUAUGUUGGAAUAGGUAUUCUCACCCACUGUGGUUAUCCAACAUGUUAGUCCGUUACAUGAUUCAUUAUUUACACAUGAUCCAGAAACAUGUUUUCGCAUAAAAUUCACUGUCACAUAAUAAUUGUAUAAUAACUGUUACAAAAAUAUAUUUUAAUAACCGCAACUAAGCAUGUCUUGAAGGUCCAGC
rnacentral:rRNA from 1 species